rnacentral:piRNA from 1 species
CCAGCUAGAACAGAACGUGAUAGG